rnacentral:misc_RNA from 1 species
GCUAGCUUCAGAUCGCAGCAAGAGAAAAGUAGGGGAAAGAAAUAGUAACAUCAUGUCGCUAAUUACCAAUGAACUGCAAGAUGUUAAAAGCCACUGUGAAGAUCAAAUAGAAGGGAGUAAAGUUAUUACCUGUGUUCCAUCCAUGGUCAGAGUGGAGAUCAAGCGGACAAAAUUCAAGCAGUUAACAGCAUGCAUUCAGUUCCCAGACAACUACCCUGAACAGCCUCUGAUUAUAGAAUUCAAGAGUAAAACACUUGCAGCCAGGUUAUUAGAUGGUCUAUGUAAAGUAUGUGAAAAGGAGUGUAAAAAGUACCUUGGAAAACCCCAGAUUCUUAGGCUUUUAAAAUUUGUCAGCAGCUUCAUAGAUGAAAACCCUCUGUGCGUUUGCAGUGAAGAAAUUGCUUCUAUCAAGAAAGAGUUAAUAAGUGAAAAUGAUGAUCUGAAAUUAAAACAAAAAACAUCUUCUCUUUAUCUUCAAAUAACCCAGGAGGCUUACAGAAUAGUUGUGAAAAUUACUGUUCCUCACCACUAUCCUGAAGAACAGAUACGGGUUGAAUUAAAAGAAUCCAACUUUCCAGACCUUUUUACCAAAUUUUUUUGUGGACAGUCUUUAGAAAUUUCCAGACAGUGCAUUCAACCACCACUAAAAAGAAAACCCAAGGAUCCUCCAUUCGAACCUAAGCCAGCUCUCUGGCCUAUAAUACGUUUUCUCAUUAAGGAAGUUAAGAGAUUCCCCCACGAAAAAUGUCCUGUGUGUAAGGAAAGAUGCCUACCCUCAGACCCCAAGGAGGUAACUGAAGAUCCCAAUAACCCAAAAUUUGUUGAGCGGGUAUACUGUGGUCACAUCUAUCAUUAUGACUGUCUUCUCUCAUACUUAAAAACCCCACCUUUUCAAGGUGGCAAGAAGUGCCCUAACUGUGGAAACAGAAUCUAUCACGACAGAUGGAAGUUGACUCCCAAUAUGGCUGAGGCUCGAUGGGCACAUCAAGAAGCCAGGCAUCGGGAGCUGGAAGAGGUUGAAGAUUUUUUACAUUUCCUGACGUGUAAAGUGUAACCUUUGUAUAUUCCAAAGUCAACUGUUUCUAGUCUCCUCAACAAGUGUGAUUACCUUUCACUGCUUGGAAGUUUCCUCUGUACUGUAUGAAGUUUGAUUUAUGACCCUCAAAUUGCCAUGUGGAUGUUUCCUGUCUUACUUGUGAAAUGGCACUGUAUAUCAAC